GUUCAACAUGCCUCCCAAAACAAGCGGUAAAGCAGCAAAGAAAGGCGGUAAGGCUAAGCCGCCGCUCGUGGUGGUGACAAGAAGAAGAGAAGGAGGGGAAGGAAGGAAUCCUACGGUAUCUACAUCUACAAGGUGUUGAAGCAAGUUCACCCAGACACCGGUGUCUCUUCAAAAGCCAUGUCAAUCAUGAACAGCUUCGUCAACGAUAUCUUCGAGCGUAUCGCAUCAGAAGCUUCCCGUUUGGCUCACUACAACAAACGUAGGACCAUCACAAGCAGAGAGAUCCAGACCGCUGUCCGUCUCUUGUUGCCCGGUGAGCUUGCCAAGCACGCCGUCAGUGAAGGCACCAAAGCCGUCACCAAGUACACCAGUUCAAAAUAAAUCGUAUGCUAUGCAUACACGAACCAAAUGGCCCUUUUCAGGGCCACCA